rnacentral:rRNA from 1 species
AUGGACACCCGUCAAUACAAACUACGAUGCAAUGUGCGAACUGUGUAUGGUGACCAAUGGUAUGAGAAUGACCCUCCGCCGAGGCCAGUGGCUGAUUCGCCACCCGCCUACGCAGAUGGCAAGAUUUACUGGUUGGUCGAGCCAAAGCUCGGGCCGAGCACCACUGCAACCUGCGAGCUCGUGGCAUUUGACACCAUAGAAAGAGAAUUUGAGGUUGUGGAAGGGCCACCGUGCAGCUACAAUGGAGGCCGCAUAUCCGUUGUUGAGCUCCAUGGCAUAAUUCAUGUGGCGUGGUCGGAUCAAGACGCAGAUGCCAUUGACGUAUGGGUGAUGGAUGACAACGGCGCUUGGUGUGUCGAGUACCGCAUAGAGCUCGCUGAGUUCUGGCCGGAGUACUCAUCCGAGAGAACAACGAUCAUGGCUAUUGAUCCUACAGAUGGACGGAUUUUGCUCAGCACAGGAAGAUCAUUAGGAUACUACAAUCUCAAGACCAUGGAGCUGGAGACAAUCUACCGUGUCACUGCUCAGUCAGUGUACCAUGAUGACAGGCCACAUUUCUGUGCUGUUGUCUACCAAGAAAGCCUAUUCCGCCCAUUUAUGAGGGAGUAA